GGGGCUGACCGGUUUAGACAGCGUGUAGAGGUGGUGUGUAAGCGUGCAGAGCAAUGAUGGCUAACCUCUAUAAUCCUUGACAUCAGUAAUUUUAAAUGGCGAAAACAACUACGCUCUCGCUGCCUGAUCGAAGUAUAGUAGAUCCGCUUUAUCUCUCUAACAGUUAGAGAGACGAGACAUCGCCCGAUUGUCGUUGUUCCGAGACUAAUCGACCCGGCGGUGCAGUUAAAUCGGAAAUAGCUCCCGGUGAGUCUCGAGCCGAGGGUGAAAAUUAAGAGACUAAGGGCAUGGUUGGUCGUCCCGGCCUGUCAUGUCACAAAAAUCAAGCGGAGACUAAGCACGUAGAAAGCACAUUAGUUCCACGUUUGGACGAGGGUUCGAAUCCCUCCAGCUCCACUU
rnacentral:tmRNA from 1 species